CUUUGAUCAUGCAAAGUUUCUGAAUUCCCCUAGAAUCUCCCUUAAAUCACCUGGACAAGAUGAUACAUCUAAACCACAUACUUACAGAAAAAUGAAAGACAACUCCCGCAGUGAUAUACUAUACAAUGCUUGCUGUCAUAUGGCAAGUCACACUUAAGAAGUAAUUCUAUGCCUUAAAUAUAAUAUAAUAUUUUCUAAUUUGCAAUGAGUUCUUCCUUCUCUGAGAAUGACCAUACAAAGGUGAAUAAAACAUAUAGUACAGAUUGAAUUAGAUCGACAUUUUUUAUAUUAUUUUAUUGCACGUACAUAGAUAACAUAAAUCAAUUUUAAAUUCACCAAACUGGUGAUUAAAUUUAAAUGUAACUACUAAGAAGGGAAAAAAAUGCAAAUAUGGUUACUAUAAUAAAUAGAGAUAUAUAUUUCGACUAUUUCAUAUAGACUCAUGGACACAGAGGCAUGUGUAGUGUUGAUAUAAAACACCGUAAGUCGAAAUCAUUCAUCAAAUGAGAACGAAUCUUCAUUUUCAGGAUAUUAAUGAUUCUUUUUGAGUUUUAACUGCUCUAACUUUGUUUUUGUUUUAUAUAUAUAUAUAUAUAUAUACACACACACACCAUUGUACAGCGCUAUGGAAUCUGAUGGCGCUAUAUAAAUAAUAAAAUAAUAAUAAUAUAAAGACCAAUAGUAUAGUGCUCCUCCAGCCUACUAAGGGGGAUGGUAUGGUGCCCUUAGGUGACAGUCAGAAGGAGGACCUUGGGCAACGAGGCUGUGCUGUAAUAACUGAUCAUUGUUUAUGUAGUGUUGCUAGGUGUGAUUGAAUUUUGCUUUAGGCUCAUCUUAUGAAUGGUAUGAGGCAUAUAAAAUGAGCAGACGUAUAAAAGGAGAGGAACAUGAUGUAUGAAGGAUAGAGGAUUUUAGCUACAUCCAUAUAUGGAAUUGAAAUGUACUGCACCAAGACAACAGUGACCCUGUGUGUCUGUGUGUAUCUGUUUGUAUGUAUAUCUGUGUGUUUGUGUAUUUGUCUGUAUGUGUAAAUCUGUCUGCAUGUGUAUCUGCAUAUGUGUCAUUGUGUGUCCCUGUAUAUGUGUGUAUGUCAGUGUUUGUAUCUGCAUGAGUCUUACUAUGUUUCUGAAACUGUUUUCUUUUUUUGGGAGGGAUGGUUGAUGUGGAGGGCUUGAUUAAAUGCCAGGGAGUGUAGGCGGGGGGAGGGAGCAGGAUCCAGGGUGCCUAUGCAAAUACAUCCCUAAAGUCCAAUUAAUAUUAAAGAUGGCCCUGGAUUAAUUCAUGCACAUUACACAAUUCUUUGAGUUUUAUUGUUGAAGAGCUGUGUGAUACACUCAUAAUAGUCAUCUGGAGCUCUGUGAUGCAAAUUCAUUGUUUAUGUCUGCAAGGUUUAUUGCUGUGGAGCUCUGUGAAACAAAGUAAUGAGGCACACAAGAGUAAAUUACUCAAAUGUCUAUGAUGGACACAUAAAGUUCAAGAAAAUAACAGAUUUUAAUAGUUUAGUUACAACUGGUGUCCACAUUAUGGCUGGCCUUGGAUUAAAGUCACUCUUGUUUAAACAUUUACAGAUUUGUAACCUUUACUUAUAUUCUCAUUUUCCUUUUACGAACUAUCUCACACCUUAUUUAAAACAUAGGAUAAAUUCCAAACCUGGAUAUAAAUAAUAUAGAACAUUUUUUAACACUUGAUUGCAAAGUAUUUUCAGAGCCUAUAUCUGCAAUAUGCUAAACUAAAAUGGAAAAAAUGUGCUGGUCUACGAAGAUAAGACUUGAAAACUAUUAGGAUGCGGGGUUUCCAAAAAUAAAACUGUUACAAGUGCAAAAGGAAACACAAUGACAGAAUAGCUUUGGGGUUUCAACACAUAACAUAUGUAUUAAAAUUCUUAAAAUGUUUAAAAAUAGAAUGCUCCCUCUUGUGUUUGAGUACCUGAGGUUAACUGAGCAAAAACUAUUUUGAGACCUGAGCGGGGAUGUACCGAAGGGCAAGCUAAUGAGUUUACUCUAAGCUUUUAUCCGUUCUCAGAGUUCUCAUUCCUUCAUUUUUGCUUUAGUGCAUUAAAUUGGCUCACCCCAAGUUAAAAGGGUAAUCCAGACGUGGACCCUGUGCUCACUGUGCCUAGAGGGAUAUCAGCUAUACCUCACUGAUGAGGCCCAAAAGAAAGCCAAAAUGAUUGUCUGGGAUUGCUGUAUCUCUCGUGCAGAGGAAACUUGCUGGCAUUUCGGAUCUGGACUGCCCGUACUGGUGGGACCAGUCUGAUAAGUUUCAGAUAUGUGCUCUCUGUAAUGGCACAAGUGAGCAAAAACUAUUUUGAGUUCUGAGCAGGGAUGUACCGAAGGGCAAGCCAUUGAGUUUACUCUAAGCUUUUGUUCGUUCUCAGAGUUCUCAUUCUUUCUUUUUAACUGAACAUAGAUUAAAAAAUAAUCUUGGUGGUGCAGAUUAAAUGGCACUUCUUAAUAUUAUUUUAUAUCAGAUCAAUUAUUCAGUGGCAGAACUACCUUUGUGCUUAUGCACCAGUGCCCGCACACUUUGGGGGUCCACGGGGGGUCCAUGCACUUAGGGCCACCCGAUGAGUAUUGCUGAACAGGGGGCCAAGUCAAGGUAAAAGAAGCAAGCAUAAAACAGUAUUCUGAUACACUUAACACAUUUCACCAACAACUGGCUUUAGCAAGAAGUGUUUUGACACUUUUGAUAAAGCCAAUUGUUGGUGAAAUACGUUAAGUGUAUUAGAAUACUGUUUUAUGCUCGUUUAUUUGACCUCUUAAUGUUUUUUUUUUUUAAAUAAAUAAAAGUACUUUUUUAUUGAACCUCACUGAUUGCUGCUGGAUUCACAAACACCUAAAUCCUUGGUGGGGAUAAAAUACCACCUACAGCCACUGGUUUGAGCAAACCUUAUUUUGUUCUACUACAUAAGUCAUUUAAAAAAAAUCUAUUUUACUUCUUCACUCCAGUUUUAUGGUGUAACUAUUUUGGUUUUAUUCUCUUGUAUGUUCACAUACAGAGAGAUACCAUAAUCACCUAUAUCCUAGAGUGGGGAUCAUACCAUUAGAAUGCUAUACUUGUGGAACCAACGUUAAGGCUCAAUAAUAUGUGAUUGCACAUUUUUUACUUUGUUUUAUUUUUGCUAUUUUGUCUUGCAUACUGCACCACAUUAUUUUUAAUUUUCUCCCUCCAACAAAUCUAUGAGAACAUCCACUUAUAGGAUGACUACACGCAGAUCCUGCACCACAUUAUAUCCCUAGGCGGGGAUCAUUCCGCCCAAUCAUUCAAGCUAGAGCUGAACCUAAGCUCACAAAAAGUGUGAGUGGACUAUUUUUAUUAAUUUUAAUCUCACUGUACUUUACGUAUUACACUAUUGGUCUUUUCUUUAUCAUUACAUAUAUUCUCAAGGACAUAUUAGGCGCUACACCAACCCUUCUGUUUCUUCUGUAUAUGAAUUUGUGUCUAUGUGUCAGUGUUUUUAUAUGUGGUAAUGUGUAUGUAUGUAUGUAUGUAUGUUUGUAAGAGUGUAUCUGUGUAAGUGCAUACAUCCAAGCAAACACCAACACAACAUGAAACACACUCCUGCAAUCUAACACAAAUAUUACAUACAAACACACCCCUGCAUUCAAACUCCAAAAUUAUAUACAAACACACCCCUUCACUCAAACAUCUAUACUACACACGCAUGCACAUCUGCAUUUAAAAGCCAACAUUACAUGCAUGAAAAGCACUGCAAUCAAAGCAAAGAUUACAUACAAAACACAAACCUGUGCUAAAACACUACAUUUAUACACAAACACCCCUGCAUUCAAACACCAACACUACACUCAAAAGCACGUUUGCAAUUAAAAGCGAACACUAAAUACAAACACAUCCCUGCAUUUAAACACAAACACACAUAAACCACUUAAUUCCAAUGGCAGCAGUGCAUGCAGACAUAUACUCUUAAAAACAUGCUUACAUUCAAACGCACAAACAUGGCGCACAAUUACAACCCUGCAAUGACAGACAAAUGGUAGAUCCCUAGUUGGCAUAGUAUUGUUGGAGUUGUACGACAGAUGAGGAUGUAACUUUUGCCAAUUCCUGCACUGGGGGGGAGGGGGGGGAGCCCAAAAAGCUCUCUACUUUAGUUGUGCCACUGAACUUAUUCAAACUCCAGCAGAAUAUUGGACAUACAUGUUUUAGUGUACUGUGUUGGAGGUUUUAUGUUAUUAUAAAUAAAUACAUCACUAGAAAUGAUAAAUAUAUUGUUUCAAGGGUCACAGUUAAAAUAAACAAAAUUAUAUGCAUCCUUUCCACCAACGCAAGGCAGACUUUGAUAGAUCCCCAAGAUUACGUUUGUUUACACAUCUGUCUUAUUCACCAGACAUGCAACACUGCAUGUAUGCAAUAGCACUCUAUGCCAUGAAACAUGAGGAUAUGAAAUAUCCAAGUGAGUCAUCGCCAACAGUAAAUGGCUGGAAGAUUGAGAAAUAAUCAAGAUGCACAGUUUGCAUGUGAAUUGAUUUAUAAAGAUAGUUUACAGGACAGGAUACAAGUCAAGCAAAGCCAUUUGUAAACUCAAAAACAGAUACCACAAAGUUAUACUCUCACCGACACACACAACUGAAUAUGUUAUGUAUCUACUGACAGAUUCAUUGCCACAAUAUGCCAAAUAAAAAGAUCUUCAUUCACAAAUGUACUAGUAGUAGUUGAUUUCUAACUUAGAGAAAUACAUAGAGGAUACAUCAUAGUGAGGAGCAGAUUGUGGAAUAGUAAUGCCACAGAGGAGUUCUGGAGACAUUCUCAGUCUUAUUCAAUCAAGAGAGAAUUGAAAUUAAAAGACAAUUUCAUAUUUACGUUAAAAACAAGCUGAAUUAGAAAAAAAACUGAAAGUACGCUUUGAAUUUAGUUUGAUUGUUUUGGUUUACAAUUUGAAAUUCACAUUGAAUUCAAGAAACACUAUAGUGUUGGGAAUACAAACAUGAAUUUCUAAUGCUAUAUUCUCCUAGUCCAUAUUUAGACGCAGGGCCUUGUUCCUUUUAACCUGUAAAAAUAAGAGAAAAAAGGUUUUACUUAAUUUUUUCCAGCACGGAGACUUACUUAGUACUACAACCUGCUCCUUCUCAAAAAAUGCUCUGCAUCCAGUCUAAUGCUUCACAUAGUGUCCAAUCAAAAUGCUCUGCAUCCAUUCAAAUGCUUCACAUAGUGUCCAAUCAAAAUGCUCUGCAUCCAGUCAAAUGCUUCACAUAGUGUCCAAUCAAAAUGCUCUGCAUCCAGUCUAAUGCUUCACAUAGUGUCCAAUCAAAAUGCUCUGCAUCCAGUCUAAUGCUUCACAUAGUUUCCAAUCAAAAUGCUCUGCAUCCAGUCUAAUGCUUCACAAACUCAAAAUGCUUUGCAUCCAGUCAAAUGUUUCUCAUAAGUUAAGAUUAAACCCAGUGCUUUCCUAUGAGCUGCAUUUGAUGGCGAUUGACAUCAUCAUAGAUGACACAUGACCGAGUGAAACUUGUGGCUGUAAAGACUGUAAGAAGAGAGGCGUGCUUAACCCUUCAAGAGAUCUAGGUGCUUUUAAUGGUUCUAUCACAUACAUUUUAACUUUAGUGAAUAACCUUGACAUAUGUGGCCUUUGAUUUUUUUCCCCAGAACUCCAGCAUUAGCUAUACAGAGCAUUAGCUUCCUAUAAUACAUGUUUCAGUGUUAUAGGUUUUUUGUCAAUAAAUUACUUUUUCAGAUUAGGGCUAUGUUUCCAUCAAGCUCAGGACAACACCAGGACAUAUAUGCCCCAGCCUGACUAAGAUUGGUGGACAUCCCACUCCCAGAUACCAUUUGAGAAUUGCAGUAGCCACCACUAAUUGCACACUUCUCCUGUUACUGAAAAAAUAUAUGUCCAGCAGGGCCGGACUGGGAAAAGAAUUCGGCCCGGGCAUUUUUUAAUCACAGCGGCCCACUGCGAAGGGGGCGGGGCCAGAGGGGGGUGUUUUGUCAUCACCAAUGGCAAGAACGCCCCAUGUCAAAGUGAGCAUGGUGGUUCAAUGCUCUUUUAGGGCAGACCAUGCGCAGAGCUCUGCUGAAGAGCUCCAGCAUGAGAAAAAGGCCCUGUAUUUGUUCUGCGCAGCGCAAGCAUUUUUAUUAACAUGCUUGCGCUGUGUUUGCUUGUAACUUGUCUCUGGUGUCUCGUAAGUGGGAUACCAGGAGACAAAGACCCAGGAAAGAGUAUUGUGCAUUUGUUUGGAGCCUGCUUGUAGGAUUGUGUGUGUGUAGAGUGAGCUGAUUGUGGUGUGAUGUUGUGUAAAUAGGUCGAUUUCAGUUGUGUUUGUAGGGUAAUGUGUGGCUAGCGGCUGUAAAGAGUGAGAGAGUGUAUAGGGAGCAUAGUGUGUAUAGAGGUUGUAGAGUGUGUUUGUUUAGGGGAUGUAGUAUGUUUGCUUACAAGGAAUCUAGUGUGUGCAUAGGGGAUCCAGAGUUUGCAUAUCAGGAAUGUAGUGUGUUUAGAUGAUCCAGAGUUGUGUAAGGGAUCUAGUGUGUGUUUGGAAUGUAAUGUGUGAAUGAGGGGUGCUGUGUGUGAGGGUGUUGUUUGUGUGAGAGGUGCAGUGUGCGAGGGUGUGGUUUGUGUGUGUGAGGGGGCACUGUGUGUAAGGCUUCAGUGUGUGUGUGUGUGAGGGGUUCUGCUUGUGAGGUGCUGCAUGUGAUGGGUGCUGUGUGUGCCGUGUGUGUGAGGGUGCUACAUGUGAGGGGUGCUGUGUGUACCAUUUGUGAGAGUGCUCUGUGUGUAUGUGAGGGGUGCAAUGUGUGACGGUGCUGUUUGUGUGAGGGGUGCUGUGUGUGUGUGUAUGUGAGGGGUGCAGAGUGUGAGGGGUGCAGGACCCAGAGCGUGAAUAGGAGAUCUAUGUAUGUUUGUGUGCAUAGAGGAUUCAGAAUGUAUUUAGGGAUUUAGUGUGUUUAGAUGAUCCAGAGUUGUGUAAGGGAUCUAGUGUGUGUCUGGAAUGUAAUGUGUGUAUGAGGGGUGCUGUGUUUGUGUGUGAGGGGUGCAGUGUGCGAGGGUGCAGUUUGUGUGUGUGAUGUUUCAGAGUGUGUGUGUGUGUGUGUGUGUGUGAGGGGUGCUGCGUGUGUGGGUGCUGUAUGAGGAGUGCUGUGUGUGCCAUUUGUGUGAGAUUGCUGUGUGUGUAUGUGAGGGGUGCUGUGUGUGUGGGGUGGGAGGUGCUGUGUGUGUGAGAGAGGGUGCUGUGUCAGUGUGUGUGCUCGUGUGUGUGAGGGGUGCUGUGUCAGUGUGUGUGUGUGUGUGUGUGUGUGAGUGGGGUUCUGUGUGAG